CGCGGCCUAUCAGCUUGUUGGUGGGGUAGUGGCUUACCAAGGCUUUGACGGGUAGCCGGCCUGAGAGGGUGACCGGCCACAUUGGGACUGAGAUACGGCCCAGACUCCUACGGGAGGCAGCAGUGGGGAAUAUUGCACAAUGGGCGGAAGCCUGAUGCAGCAACGCCGCGUGCGGGAUGACGGCCUUCGGGUUGUAAACCGCUUUCGCCUGUGACGAAGCGUGAGUGACGGUAAUGGGUAAAGAAGCACCGGCUAACUACGUGCCAGCAGCCGCGGUGAUACGUAGGGUGCGAGCGUUGUCCGGAUUUAUUGGGCGUAAAGGGCUCGUAGGUGGUUGAUCGCGUCGGAAGUGUAAUCUUGGGGCUUAACCCUGAGCGUGCUUUCGAUACGGGUUGACUUGAGGAAGGUAGGGGAGAAUGGAAUUCCCGGUGGAGCGGUGGAAUGCGCAGAUAUCAGGAGGAACACCAGUGGCGAAGGCGGUUCUCUGGGCCUUUCCUGACGCUGAGGAGCGAAAGCGUGGGGAGCAAACAGGAUUAGAUACCCUGGUAGUCCACGCCGUAAACGUUGGGUACUAGGCGUGGCGUCUUAUCAACGGACGCCGUGCUCGAAGCUAACGCGUUAAGUACCCCGCCUGGGGAGUACGG
rnacentral:rRNA from 1 species